rnacentral:rRNA from 1 species
AAUGAACGCUGGCGGCAUGCCUAACACAUGCAAGUCGAACGAGACCUUCGGGUCUAGUGGCGCACGGGUGCGUAACGCGUGGGAAUCUGCCCUUGGGUUCGGAAUAACUCGCCGAAAGGCGUGCUAAUACCGGAUGAUGACGUAAGUCCAAAGAUUUAUCGCCCAAGGAUGAGCCCGCGUAGGAUUAGCUAAUUGGUGGGGUAAAGGCCCACCAAGGCGACGAUCCUUAGCUGGUCUGAGAGGAUGAUCAGCCACACUGGGACUGAGACACGGCCCAGACUCCUACGGGAGGCAGCAGUGGGGAAUAUUGGACAAUGGGCGAAAGCCUGAUCCAGCAAUGCCGCGUGAGUGAUGAAGGCCUUAGGGUUGUAAAGCUCUUUUACCCGGGAUGAUAAUGACAGUACCGGGAGAAUAAGCCCCGGCUAACUCCGUGCCAGCCGCCGCAGUAA